rnacentral:tRNA from 1 species
GGUUCGGUAGCUUAGUUGGUGAAGCACUCGUCUAGCAAAUAAGAGUCGUGGAUUCGAAUGCCACCUGAACCU